CCUACGGGUGGCAGCAGUGAGGAAUAUUGGUCAAUGGUCGGGAGCCUGAACCAGCCAAGUCGCGUGAGGGAGGACGGUCCUAUGGAUUGUAAACCUCUUUAGGCGGGGAGCAAUGACGGGCACGCGUGCCCGGAGGGAGAGUACCCGCAGAAUAAGCAUCGGCUAACUCCGUGCCAGCCGCCGCGGUAAUACGGAGGAUGCGAGGGUUAUCCGGAUUUAUGGGGUUAAAAGGGUGCGUAGGCGGAUUUUUAAGCCAGCGGUAAAAGGUCCGGGCUCAACCCGGGCCGGCCGUUGAAACUGGGAGUCUUGAGUGGGCGAGAAGUAUGCGGAAUGCGUGGUGUAGCGGUGAAAUGCAUAGAUAUCACGCAGAACUCCGAUUGCGAAGGCAGCAUACCGGCGCCCGACUGACGCUGAGGCACGAAAGCGUGGGGAUCGAACAGGAUUAGAUACCCGGGUAGUC
rnacentral:rRNA from 1 species